rnacentral:snRNA from 1 species
AUCACUUCUUGACCUUUUGGCCAAGAUCAAGUGUAGUAUCUGUUCUUAUCAGUUUAAUACCUGAUAUGUAUAUCAGGAUACAUGAUAUAUGUAUCAUAUAUCAUGAUAUAUGAUAUAUGAUACCUUCUAUCCAAGAACAAUAUAUUAAAUGGAUUUUUGGAGAAGGGAGAUGGAAUAGCAGCUUGCCCCAUUACUCUUCACAUAAAACAGGUAUUGUGAUAUUUCAGGAACAGUCCACUCCCU